AUCUGCUUCCAGAGGGGGUUCUGGAGACCAGGACAGCCUUUUAAAAUUCUUCUCUGUUGUCUUUGCUCUAAGAGAGACAAAGGACUCUGCAACAGAUCUUUUCCAAAAUCCCAUUUUCUUAACCCACCCAUAUCAACCCUGGAGCCAAGGAGUCUUCCUCCCUCCCAGGCUGUCUUUCUGAAGUCAAAAUAGCAGCACCUGUCAUUCCAAGUGGAUGACCUUUGGAAACACCUGGCUUCGGAGCAGGGGUGGAGGCGGGGGCGGACUCAAGGCCGGCUGCGUGGAACCCCUGCUCAGGACUAAAGGAAUGAAGCACUUGGGGAGCUCCCUUAGGGCCUGGGCCUCGUGCUGUCUCAAACACCUCCACUUCACUCAUUUGCUCAUAAGAUUUAUCGGAACCUCCCUGAAAGACGCCUUCUCUUUGCAAAGAAAAGCCACUGUACAAAAAAGGAGGGAAUCCUCAAGAAACAGGCAAAUUUCAUGAAUCCAGAGAGUCUCAUUUCCAGAAAUAUAACUUCCUCUACAGAAGGUCCACGGCUUCUCCAAGCACCAUGAAGUCUAUACAACUCCGUUUCAGAUCAUCAGGUAUUAUAUCCUGGAGGUUGAGGGACCCCUGCCUUACAAUGGUUGCAACUGAAGAGAUAACAUGCCCUGACCCCCAGCAUUUGAUAUGUGGUUUCCAGAAUUCCAUGGACAGAGGAGUCUGGCAGGCUAUAUAUUCCACGGGGCACAAAGAGUUGGACACAACUGAGCGACUGACACUUUUCUUCCUUCUUUCCUACGUGAAGGCACAAUUCCUCUAACAUUAUGAGAUGUUAGAAGGUUCUGCUGGGUUGUUCUCUAUCAGCACCCCUUGGACCUGACUUCUCCCCAGCUUUUCCCCCUUCAACCAUUCCAUUCUGUUAUCCUAGUCUCUCCUCCUACCUGGGACUUCCCCCGUGGCUCAGUGAUAAAGAAUUCGUGUGCCAAUGCAGGAGAUGUGGGUUUGAUCCCUGGGUCGGGAAGAUCCCCUGGAGGAGGGCAUGGCAACCCACUCCAGUAUUCUUGCCUGGAGAAUCCCAUGGGCAGAGGAGCCUGGUGGCCUAUAGUCCAAUGGGUCGCAAAAGAGCUGGACACGACUUGGUGACUGAGCUUGCCUGCUCCCUCUACCUAUAGCACAUUGCCUCAACUGCAGAUCGCUGCUCCAGCCUUUCUCCAGAGAACGUGGUUCUCACUAACGGGCUUGGCAUCCCUCCUGUGGUUCUUAGUAGCGGUCAGUGUGGCCUCACAAACGGGGACACGAUAGGUCAAUUAGUCCAGGCCUGCCUCUUCCGGUUUAACACAUCCAAGUCUGUAAGGGCUGCUACCCACUUUCCAUGAGUGGUGAGACUGUGAAU
ensembl:lncRNA